rnacentral:lncRNA from 1 species
CCAAACAGGAAAUUGAGCAACACGUUCAGGAAAGACAGAGCAUGGCUGCUGGGCAGCCAGGUCAACCGGACGGCAAGGCAGGGGUUGGCCGGGGAAGCACUGCGCCGCCCCUGCAUGCCCUGCAUCCUCGGGUCCUGGGAGGGCUGCUCAGUAACUGGAAGGAAAAUGAAACUGAAAAAGAGCAAGGGUCCCGUAGGAUUGAACACAGUUGGUGAAACUUGGGCCGUCUGCCUCAAGUCCCCGCUUGGCAAAACCACUCCCUCCUGGUGGACGCCCUCACCAUGAAGAUGGCACGGUGCCUGCUUCAGGUGGCUGCUGAGGAGAAGAAACCCUUCAAUGCAUGCAAAGCACUCACGCCUGGCACGCAGGGAGCACCCAGAGGAAGCACUAGUGACCUCCCAGGCUGGAAACACCACAAGGACAGGGCACUGUCAGCUUCGCUGCUGCCCUGUGGGGCUCCACAUCACAGACUGAUAUGCUAGCAGGACCGCACACAUCUGCUGCCCAGGAAAGGACGGUUUCGUAUUUUCUGGAUUAUGACCAGCUAUUGAUCUACUUAUUCUACAAUCUGUAACCUACGUUUUGAUUUAUUUGGUCUUUUCUCUUAGACGGCCUGCCUACCAGCUAUGAAAAAGAACAGAAAACCACCAGGCAAACACUCCAGUUAUGGCCAACAAGUACUAACAGCUGACGAGGUGAAAUCCUGUCUGAAGUCACAGAUUUUGCUGAAGUCCCUUGGACUGUCAUCUCAAUUUCCUUCCCGAGAGACAGCCAAGACCAUGAACCUGGCGAGGUCCCUCCAACCCACGGUGAAAUAGCUUCUCGUUUACACGUGUCCAAGGACACAGGUCUCCUUUUAUAGAUGUCUAAUUUACAUGAAUGUUACGCUUCUGGCUUCCUCCUCACCUAGGUUUUCUAAAAUGCUGUAGAGGACUCAGUCACAGCGCUCUCUUGUAUUUCAUUUACCCAUUCCCUUGCUGUGGUUACUCGGUUGUUUCCAAACUAUUUCCAACAAUGCAGCAAUGAACAUCCUGUACCUGACUCCCUGUCCACUCCAGAAGUUUCUCCAGGGCUAGGCUCUCAAGCCGUUUUUGACGCAGUUACCAUUAUAAUGCUAUACAUACGCACAUAUGUAAGAAACACACAUGGAAGAAAAGUUUCACAAAACAUGACUUAACCUAACAUGCAGUGUUCUCUGAUUUCUUUAGAUUUUAUGCCAUUUAACUCUUUUUAAGCCUCUCAUAACCCACCAGAUUAACUGUUUUUAUUUAUAUAAAUUUAAGGGGUGGGGGUCACACCUGUAGUCCCAGCACUUUGGGAGACUGAAGUGGGAGGAUCACUUGAGCCCAGGAGUUCGAGACCAGCCUGGGCAACAUGGCGAAACCCUGUCUCUACCAAAAAUACAAAAAUUAGCUAGGCAUAGUGGUGCACACCUGUAGUCUCAGCUACUCGGGAGGCUGAGGUUGCAGUGAGUUGAGAUCGUGCCACUGCACUCCAGCCUGGGCAACAAAGCAAGACCCUGUAUCUAAACAAAUAAACAAAAAGAAUCUAAGAUUCUGUGAGACCAAGAAGCUGUCUUUGGCCAGACAUAGUGGCUCAAGCCUGUAAUCUCAGCAAUUUGGGAGGCCAAGGCAAACGGAUCACUUGAGGUCAGGAGUUUGAGACCAGCCCAGUCAAUAUGGGUGAAACCCCAUCUCUACUAAAAAUACAAAAAUUAGCCAGGCAUGGUAGCACACGCCUGUAAUCCCAGCUACUCUGAGGCUGAGGCCUGAGAAUCGCUUGAGCCCGGGAGGUGGAGGUUGCGGUGAGCCGAGCAAGAUGGCACCACUGCACUCCAGCCUGGGCUACAGAGAGAGACUCCAUCUCAAAAAAAAAAAAAAACAAAAAAAAAAACCUGUCUUUGAAACAUAACUUCAUGUCACUUAACACCUCAACAAUGUAAUAAUUUCCUUCACUUUCCCAAAACUUAAAGAAACAAAUGAACAAAAUGG